CAAUAGCGUAUAUUAAAGUUGUUGCAGUUAAAAAGCUCGUAGUUGAACUUCAGACCUGGCCGGGCGGUCUGCCUAACGGUAUGUACUGUCUGGCUGGGUCUUACCUCUUGGUGAGCCGGCAUGCCCUUCACUGGGUGUGUCGGGGAACCAGGACUUUUACCUUGAGAAAAUUAGAGUGUUCAAAGCAGGCCUAUGCCCGAAUACAUUAGCAUGGAAUAAUAAAAUAGGACGUGCGGUUCUAUUUUGUUGGUUUCUAGAGUCGCCGUAAUGAUUAAUAGGGAUAGUUGGGGGCAUUAGUAUUCAGUUGCUAGAGGUGAAAUUCUUGGAUUUACUGAAGACUAACUACUGCGAAANCANNNGCCAAGGAUGUUUUCAUNAA
rnacentral:rRNA from 1 species